rnacentral:lncRNA from 1 species
AGGUCAGGCUAGCUCUCCCUGGCCGGCCCUCCGCGCCCGGGGCCCUCGGCCUCCCCCGCGCCGUCCCCGGGCCGCGUGCGUACCUGCGCCGGGGCCUCCCUCCCCGGCUCCGCACGCGGGAGGCGCGGGCACCGGCGGCCGGCGGGCCAGGGCAGGGGCGCGUCCUCCCCGCGCGCCCGCCCGCCUCCCCGCCCCGGCGCCCGCCCGCCGGUGUCUCCGCUGCGGCGCAGCCCAGGCGGGCGCGGGCGCGGGCCCGGCUGCCACCGCCUCGCCCUCCCCGGCUCCCGCCCCCUCCCCGGCCCGGCCCGGCCCGGAGCCGCUGCCGAGGCGCACGUACCUGCUCGCGCCGCGCGGGGCUCUACGGCGGCGGCCGCUGGAGGCUCCGGGGAGGGAGGGGCAGGGGCGGGGGCCGGGGAGCUCCGAGAGCCGCCGAUCCAGCUCCGCCCGCGGCCGGCGCGGGCGCCCGGAGAGUUAGCGCGGGGAGGGACCGGGAGGCGGGUAGCAGGCUGGGUGUCGGGCCGACGGGGGACCAGGCUCCAGCCCCCUCCCUGUCCCCGGAGGGCUUAUCUGUUCCGCCGGCGCCCGGGCUCGGGGAAUCGAAGCUUGGAGCCCGCGGGGACGGGUGCAGGGGCGGGGCGCGGGGGUGGGUGCUGGGGGAGACCCCUCCCCCGCCGCCUGCCUCUCCCCCCCACUCCCCCGCCCCCGCCCACGCCCACGCCGGGGAGCCCCUACCUCGCGGAGCCCCUUUGCUCCCUCCGCCCCCGCCCCCCUCCCACACGCACAGCCCCCAGGUGGGACCCGGGUCCUCUCCUGGGUCCUCAGGUCGGGACAGUCUUCCCAGGCGCGUGCGGCUCCGUGGCUCAAGGGCGCCACCUGAAGGCUGAAAGGAAGCUUCCGACGAACCUCCCGCCUCCCCUUUCCCUGUUCUUUCUCUGUGGGACAGCGGGGUGCACAGUCCAAGGGCCCAGAUUAAAGGGGAAUCGUGUUCAAGUGGGAUCGAGUGAGGUGCCCAGAGCACAAAAGUGAAAGUGACACUCUCGGUUCCUGGAGGCUGGGAACAAGACCCGAGUUCCGUCUGAAGAUCAUGGGUCCCCAGGAAGACUGAGGCCAGCUCACUUGCCUGUUCUCAGCUAGGACCUCUCACCUCUGUGAGCCUCAGCGUUUACCUGUGGGUGGGAUCCUAAAAAUGCAGGAUAAAAAUGCAGGCUGUAGGAGCUUCCAGAAGAUCAGCUGGGGGCCGCCACCUAGAAGGACCGGCAGAUAGGUUACCCUGUCCUGGCGCCACGGCCACCUCAUGGGAGAGCCUGACCUGUCCUGCUCCAAAGGCCCGUGCGGUCCAUAGCCAGCCAGGACUGCAGAGGCCGCCCUGGAAGCUGGGUGCCUGGGCCUUUGAGGCUGGUGUGGUGGAGACCUGGGUGGGACCUCAGGAAUGAAGAGGGUUCAGUGUCUCCCUGACCUCACAGGCCUGGCCUCUCAUUCGGGACUUUGAGGGGAAGCCAGCUGUGGUGUCAGACCUCCCCAUAAAGACCUCCCUAUAAAACACCCAUGGUCCCCUCCCGCGGUCAUGCACAGUCCUGCAUCAGAGCCUUUGCCUUUACCAUUCCUUCUUCCCCAGGACACUCUGCUGCCUGACAUCCCCAGAGCUCACUCCCCCACGUCUUUCAAGUCUUUGGUCAGAUGUCACCUUCUCAGAGACACCUGCCCAGACCAUCCUUUUAAAACUAGCAGUGCCGGGACGCCUGGGUGGCUCAGUCGGUUGAGCGUCCGACUCUUGAUUUCAGCUUAGGUCACGAUCCCAGGGUCUGGGUCGUGGGAUCGAGCCCCGCAUUGGGCUCCAUGCUGAGUGUGGAGCCUGCUUGGGAUUCCCCCUCCCACCCCACCUCUCCCCCUCUCCCCACUCUCUCUAAAAGAAAUAAAUAGGGGCGCCUGGGUGGCUCA